rnacentral:rRNA from 1 species
AUACCCUAUUAUUUUUAAUGUGAGUAAAUUAAACUUGAGUAUUAAUAGUUAAGAUCUUGAAACUCAAAGAAUUUGGCGGUAUUAAAGUCUGGUUAGAGGAAUCUGUUAUGUGAUCGAUAGUCCACGUUGAACCUUACUUAAUUAUGGUUUUGUAUAUCGCUGUUUAGAAAAUAUUAUAAGAUUAAUUUACUUAAUAUUUAGUUUAGUAAUAAUUCAAGUCAAGGUGCAGUAAUGAUUAAGUUUAAUAAUGGAUUACAAUAAAUUUUAUUUAUAUGGAUUGUCAGUGAAAUAUAGAUUUGAAGGUGGAUUUAAUUGUAAUUUUUUGAAGAUUAUUAAGAUGAAUAAGCUCUAUAAUAUGCACACAUCGCCC